ACGAACGCUGGCGGCGUGCCUAAUACAUGCAAGUCGAACGCUUCUUUUUCCACCGGAGCUUGCUCCACCGGAAAAAGAGGAGUGGCGAACGGGUGAGUAACACGUGGGUAACCUGCCCAUCAGAAGGGGAUAACACUUGGAAACAGGUGCUAAUACCGUAUAACAAUCGAAACCGCAUGGUUUUGAUUUGAAAGGCGCUUUCGGGUGUCGCUGAUGGAUGGACCCGCGGUGCAUUAGCUAGUUGGUGAGGUAACGGCUCACCAAGGCGACGAUGCAUAGCCGACCUGAGAGGGUGAUCGGCCACAUUGGGACUGAGACACGGCCCAAACUCCUACGGGAGGCAGCAGUAGGGAAUCUUCGGCAAUGGACGAAAGUCUGACCGAGCAACGCCGCGUGAGUGAAGAAGGUUUUCGGAUCGUAAAACUCUGUUGUUAGAGAAGAACAAGGAUGAGAGUAACUGUUCAUCCCUUGACGGUAUCUAACCAGAAAGCCACGGCUAACUACGUGCCAGCAGCCGCGGUAAUACGUAGGUGGCAAGCGUUGUCCGGAUUUAUUGGGCGUAAAGCGAGCGCAGGCGGUUUCUUAAGUCUGAUGUGAAAGCCCCCGGCUCAACCGGGGAGGGUCAUUGGAAACUGGGAGACUUGAGUGCAGAAGAGGAGAGUGGAAUUCCAUGUGUAGCGGUGAAAUGCGUAGAUAUAUGGAGGAACACCAGUGGCGAAGGCGGCUCUCUGGUCUGUAACUGACGCUGAGGCUCGAAAGCGUGGGGAGCAAACAGGAUUAGAUACCCUGGUAGUCCACGCCGUAAACGAUGAGUGCUAAGUGUUGGAGGGUUUCCGCCCUUCAGUGCUGCAGCUAACGCAUUAAGCACUCCGCCUGGGGAGUACGACCGCAAGGUUGAAACUCAAAGGAAUUGACGGGGGCCCGCACAAGCGGUGGAGCAUGUGGUUUAAUUCGAAGCAACGCGAAGAACCUUACCAGGUCUUGACAUCCUUUGACCACUCUAGAGAUAGAGCUUCCCCUUCGGGGGCAAAGUGACAGGUGGUGCAUGGUUGUCGUCAGCUCGUGUCGUGAGAUGUUGGGUUAAGUCCCGCAACGAGCGCAACCCUUAUUGUUAGUUGCCAUCAUUUAGUUGGGCACUCUAGCAAGACUGCCGGUGACAAACCGGAGGAAGGUGGGGAUGACGUCAAAUCAUCAUGCCCCUUAUGACCUGGGCUACACACGUGCUACAAUGGGAAGUACAACGAGUCGCAAAGUCGCGAGGCUAAGCUAAUCUCUUAAAGCUUCUCUCAGUUCGGAUUGUAGGCUGCAACUCGCCUACAUGAAGCCGGAAUCGCUAGUAAUCGCGGAUCAGCACGCCGCGGUGAAUACGUUCCCGGGCCUUGUACACACCGCCUGUCACACCACGAGAGUUUGUAACACCCGAAGUCGGUGAGGUAACCUUUUGGAGCCAGCCGCCUAAGGUGGGAUAGAUGAUUGGGGUG
rnacentral:rRNA from 1 species